AUUGAACGCUGGCGGCAGGCUUAACACAUGCAAGUCGAGCGGGGGAAGGUAGCUUGCUACCGGACCUAGCGGCGGACGGGUGAGUAACGCGUGGAUAAUCUGCUCUCGAAUGGGGAAUAACUAGUCGAAAGAUUAGCUAAUACCGCAUAAGACCACGACUACUGAGGUAGUUGGGGUCAAAGGAGCAAUUCGUUUGAGGAUGAGUCCGCGUAAGAUUAGCUAGUUGGUGAGGUAAUGGCUAACCAAGGCGAUGAUCUUUAACUGGUCUGAGGGGAUGAUCAGUCACACUGGAACUGAGACACGGUCCAGACUCCUACUGGAGGCAGCAGUAGGGAAUAUUGGACAAUGGGGGCAACCCUGAUCCAGCGACGCCGCGUGAGCGAUGAAGGCCUUCGGGUCGUAAAGCUCUGUUGUAAGGGAAAAAGUUCUGAUUGUACCUUACGAGAAAGGAUCGGCUAACUUCGUGCCAGCCGCCGCAGUAA
rnacentral:rRNA from 1 species